AGCCGCCAAAAACUAUAACGAUAUUAUUACCGUACAAGCCGUU
rnacentral:sRNA from 1 species